UAUGAAAAUCAGCGUGUUCAACUGAUGACAUAAAACAGACUGACUCUGCUAACCUGAUUUAAUUCUUCUGAAAAUCGGAGGGAACGCUGAAAGGCAAGGUGUUCUGUCGAGGUCUAGUGAGAUAUAAAUGGCUUCUACAAAGAAAAAUGCUGCAUUUCUGGUUUUUCUCGCUGUUUUCGCUUUACUAACAAGUGAGACAUCAAGCCAUUUGAGGGUGGGGAAAAAAGCGUUCGUACCGUUACAGAACGAACUUGAAGAAUUGUUUAAAAACCGAAGAAAAAUCAGCUUUGCAGAAAACAGGAGAAAAUUUAAUCAAAGAGACAACUGGAGGCUCGGAACAGAGGAACUGCGAGAGUUUUAUAGAGAGUAAGGCCAUCGGAUAACCGAGAUGCCAUGGUAAAGCAUGCGUAAUCAAGUCAAAGAACAGAUUAUUUAGAUGUAAUAAGCAUAUUGUAGUUAGUUUAAAAAAAAAUACCUGAAUACUUUCCAGCUAAAGACAUUUUCGAACAGUAG